CAUAGGUUAAUGAGGCGAACCGGGGGAACUGAAACAUCUAAGUACCCCGAGGAAAAGAAAUCAACCGAGAUUCCCCCAGUAGCGGCGAGCGAACGGGGAGGAGCCCAGAGCCUGAAUCAGUGUGUGUGUUAGUGGAAGCGUCUGGAAAGGCGCGCGAUACAGGGUGACAGCCCCGUACACAAAAAUGCACAUAUUGUGAGCUCGAUGAGUAGGGCGGGACACGUGGUAUCCUGUCUGAAUAUGGGGGGACCAUCCUCCAAGGCUAAAUACUCCUGACUGACCGAUAGUGAACCAGUACCGUGAGGGAAAGGCGAAAAGAACCCCGGCGAGGGGAGUGAAAAAGAACCUGAAACCGUGUACGUACAAGCAGUGGGAGCCUCUUAAUGGGGUGACUGCGUACCUUUUGUAUAAUGGGUCAGCGACUUAUAUUCUGUAGCAAGGUUAACCGAAUAGGGGAGCCGAAGGGAAACCGAGUCUUAACUGGGCGUUAAGUUGCAGGGUAUAGACCCGAAACCCGGUGAUCUAGCCAUGGGCAGGUUGAAGGUUGGGUAACACUAACUGGAGGACCGAACCGACUAAUGUUGAAAAAUUAGCGGAUGACUUGUGGCUGGGGGUGAAAGGCCAAUCAAACCGGGAGAUAGCUGGUUCUCCCCGAAAGCUAUUUAGGUAGCGCCUCGUGAAUUCAUCUCCGGGGGUAGAGCACUGUUUCGGCAAGGGGGUCAUCCCGACUUACCAACCCGAUGCAAACUGCGAAUACCGGAGAAUGUUAUCACGGGAGACACACGGCGGGUGCUAACGUCCGUCGUGAAGAGGGAAACAACCCAGACCGCCAGCUAAGGUCCCAAAGUCAUGGUUAAGUGGGAAACGAUGUGGGAAGGCCCAGACAGCCAGGAUGUUGGCUUAGAAGCAGCCAUCAUUUAAAGAAAGCGUAAUAGCUCACUGGUCGAGUCGGCCUGCGCGGAAGAUGUAACGGGGCUAAACCAUGCACCGAAGCUGCGGCAGCGACACUAUGUGUUGUUGGGUAGGGGAGCGUUCUGUAAGCCUGUGAAGGUGGCCUGUGAGGGUUGCUGGAGGUAUCAGAAGUGCGAAUGCUGACAUAAGUAACGAUAAAGCGGGUGAAAAGCCCGCUCGCCGGAAGACCAAGGGUUCCUGUCCAACGUUAAUCGGGGCAGGGUGAGUCGACCCCUAAGGCGAGGCCGAAAGGCGUAGUCGAUGGGAAACAGGUUAAUAUUCCUGUACUUGGUGUUACUGCGAAGGGGGGACGGAGAAGGCUAUGUUGGCCGGGCGACGGUUGUCCCGGUUUAAGCGUGUAGGCUGGUUUUCCAGGCAAAUCCGGAAAACCAAGGCUGAGGCGUGAUGACGAGGCACUACGGUGCUGAAGCGACAAAUGCCCUGCUUCCAGGAAAAGCCUCUAAGCAUCAGGUAACAUCAAAUCGUACCCCAAACCGACACAGGUGGUCAGGUAGAGAAUACCAAGGCGCUUGAGAGAACUCGGGUGAAGGAACUAGGCAAAAUGGUGCCGUAACUUCGGGAGAAGGCACGCUGAUAUGUAGGUGAAGCGACUUGCUCGUGGAGCUGAAAUCAGUCGAAGAUACCAGCUGGCUGCAACUGUUUAUUAAAAACACAGCACUGUGCAAACACGAAAGUGGACGUAUACGGUGUGACGCCUGCCCGGUGCCGGAAGGUUAAUUGAUGGGGUUAGCGGUAACGCGAAGCUCUUGAUCGAAGCCCCGGUAAACGGCGGCCGUAACUAUAACGGUCCUAAGGUAGCGAAAUUCCUUGUCGGGUAAGUUCCGACCUGCACGAAUGGCGUAAUGAUGGCCAGGCUGUCUCCACCCGAGACUCAGUGAAAUUGAACUCGCUGUGAAGAUGCAGUGUACCCGCGGCAAGACGGAAAGACCCCGUGAACCUUUACUAUAGCUUGACACUGAACAUUGAGCCUUGAUGUGUAGGAUAGGUGGGAGGCUUUGAAGUGUGGACGCCAGUCUGCAUGGAGCCGACCUUGAAAUACCACCCUUUAAUGUUUGAUGUUCUAACGUUGGCCCGUAAUCCGGGUUGCGGACAGUGUCUGGUGGGUAGUUUGACUGGGGCGGUCUCCUCCUAAAGAGUAACGGAGGAGCACGAAGGUUGGCUAAUCCUGGUCGGACAUCAGGAGGUUAGUGCAAUGGCAUAAGCCAGCUUGACUGCGAGCGUGACGGCGCGAGCAGGUGCGAAAGCAGGUCAUAGUGAUCCGGUGGUUCUGAAUGGAAGGGCCAUCGCUCAACGGAUAAAAGGUACUCCGGGGAUAACAGGCUGAUACCGCCCAAGAGUUCAUAUCGACGGCGGUGUUUGGCACCUCGAUGUCGGCUCAUCACAUCCUGGGGCUGAAGUAGGUCCCAAGGGUAUGGCUGUUCGCCAUUUAAAGUGGUACGCGAGCUGGGUUUAGAACGUCGUGAGACAGUUCGGUCCCUAUCUGCCGUGGGCGCUGGAGAACUGAGGGGGGCUGCUCCUAGUACGAGAGGACCGGAGUGGACGCAUCACUGGUGUUCGGGUUGUCAUGCCAAUGGCACUGCCCGGUAGCUAAAUGCGGAAGAGAUAAGUGCUGAAAGCAUCUAAGCACGAAACUUGCCCCGAGAUGAGUUCUCCCUGAGACUUAGAGUCUCCUGAAGGAACGUUGAAGACGACGACGUUGAUAGGCCGGGUGUGUAAGCGCAGCGAUGCGUUGAGCUAACCGGUACUAAUGAACCGUGAGGCUUAACCUUACAACGCCGAAG
rnacentral:rRNA from 1 species